GCCUGGGUGGCGAAAUUGGUAGACGCAGCGGAUUCAAAAUCCGCCGGGAUAAAACCCGUGUCGGUUCGAGUCCGACCCUAGGCA
rnacentral:tRNA from 1 species